rnacentral:lncRNA from 12 species
GUGGAGUUGAGUGUAAUAAUGGUGUUCUCAAGAGCAGAAGGUGCCAUAUAAUUUAAAGUCUUAAGAGCUGCUGUGUCUUGUCUUAGGGUUUCACUAUACCACUAUGAACCACACCAAGCAAAGAGAAAGAAAGCAACUUACAUCAGGGAAGGCUGCCUUGGGAAAGGCAGAUAUUUAACAUUCAGAUGCUGCUCUCGUGGAUGGAGUUCAUGUGGUCCCUGCUGAAAUCGAAAGGAUUCUGCUUAAUUUGUGAAAAUAUGAGAUUAAAAUCACAGAAGGAGAAUAAACAGAGAACAACCAAGCCGUCAAGUGGCCUUCCUUCUAGUACAUAGAUUGACUACCGGAUUUUCCAGCACUCAGCUGAGAGUAGGACAGUAGCUAUUCCUUUC